ensembl:Mt_tRNA tRNA-Leu
UACUAAGGUGGCAGAGCUUGGCAAAUGCAGGAAGCCUAAGCCUUCCCUCCCAGAGGUUCAAAUCCUCUCCUUAGUU